UAAAUACAUGCAUUGUUUUGGUUUAUUCUUGUAUAACAUUAAUGUUUCCAUAUAUAUUGUUUGAAAUGUCAGUAUAAAUUGUUUAGUCAUUAAGGGUGGAUUGUUUAGAAAUUUUAUGAAUAAUGACUGAAACAAUAUUUACAUUUAAAUAUAACUAUAAUUAAUUAAACUCUACCCUGUUUUACAAUAUCUGAUUAAUAAUGUUAGUUCCUACGAAAGAGGUUAUGUAGCAUGGACAAGGGGUCAUUGGAAAUGAUAACCAUUGUGUAGGAAGGAAUGUGUGUGUGUGUGUCUAAUGUAAGCAAAGAGAAUUAUUCAAUUCCUUUGACAGUUUGAUAAUUGGACCUUUGUUUUUCCUAAUCUAUAUCAAUGACCUUGCUGCUGUGUCUUCUACAUACUUCCCAUUCUCUUUGCUGAUGAUAUCAAUUUGAUUUUAUCAGACAAGUAUUUUGAUUCUGAAGCCAACUCCGGUAUGGCCACAUUUUCUGAGUGGUUCCAGUAUUAAACAAAUUAUCUUUAAUUCUAAAAAAAAAAAAAUCUAAAUGUAUUUACUAGUAAGAAUAACAAAAAUGCUAAAAAAAAAAGCCAGAAUCUCAAUUGGUGGCAAUGAAAUGGAACAAGUCACAUCCACUAGAUUCCUCUCAAAGUGAGGAAAUCUGUUGGUAUCAUCAGAAAGAUUAGUGGUUUAUCAGGCUUGCUUCCUAACUCUAUACUAUAGCUUAAUUUACCCAUAUCUCAUAUUUGCUGUAAUAUUGUCUGGGCCUGUACAUAAGCCUCCUACCUACACAAAUUACUCAUCAUACAAAAUAUAUUUGCAAGACUUGCCACCUCCUCUAAUUACCUCUCUCCAUCUACACCUUUGUUUAAGAAACUCAAUAUAUUGUCUAUUUACGCCACUAAUGAACUCCAAUUAUGCACUUCCAUCUACAAAUUCCCAGACAGUUGCUGGACUGAGUCCCCGAGCUGACGAGGAAAAAAUCUGUUGUUCUGCCCCUGAGCAAUGCAGUUAACCCACUGUUCCCCGGGUGCCGAUGACGUGGAAGUC
ensembl:lncRNA